CGCCGCGGCCGCGGCUGCUGCGGGGGGCGCGGCGGGCGCAGCGGAGCGGCGGGCGGCGGCGCGAGCGGCUCGCUCCAGUCCCCGCGCGGGCGGCGGCGGCGGCGUCGAGCGGUGCAGACAAAGGAGGGGCGGAGGGAGGAGACGGAGGGUGUGGGAGAGGCGGCUUCACCGGCGCGGGCAGGCGGGCGGCGGCGGCCGCGCUCCUCUCGCUCCUCGGCAGCGGGGACCGAGAGAGGGAGCUGUGUCUGAGGAGACGCCAAAAUCCCCCUUAGCGUUGCCUGCGGGAGGGGGAGGGGGCACAAGAUGGCGGCGGCCGGGGGGGCGGGAGUUCAGCUCAUGGAUCCCGGCGGGCGGCGGAGGGGAGACCGGGCCGGCGGAGGCGGCGGCGGCAACGGGCGGGGGAGGGGGCCGAUCCCGCGUCUCCCCUCAGCAGACAAUACAAGCGCCUCGGAGCGAGUCCCCGAACCUGCCCUAGCCAAAAUGGCGGCCGAGAAAGAGCGGAAGUGACCUGCAGUGAGAGCGGGUCACACCGUACGGCACAUCCCCAGUGAAGCCAACUCCACUGCAAGCGGCGUGAACGGUUACACGGAGCUCCCUGCCCAAGACCUCAGUCAGCAAGUGUAACAAUCGGUCUUUGCUCGAACGCCAGCAGGCCACCAAUUCCCGAACUGUGAUAAAGUACAUCUGCAGAAGCCAAGUCAGUAUCGCAGUGGACAACGGAGGCAAAGGCGGAGGAGGCAAAGGCAAGCCACCCAACGCCAAGGCCCGGAGACUGCCCGCUGACUCCGGAGGGCAGGCCAGAGUCAGCGCGGCGACACCGGAGUCCCUUGCGUUUCCCUGCUACAGCUCUCCGUACAACGGUAGCACAAGCACAAACGGAGAACAUCUGGAUUUCAUCCUUGGCCACGUUUGUGAAGCAAGAGAGAUGCUGGAUUCAGAUGUUCAACGAUGAAGACGAAGAGGAUUUAUGUUCAAAAUGGUGCCAAAGCAUUUGUAAGUCUAGUAUUCGUUUCUGGUAGGGUCAGAGAGAAACACAAAUGAAAACGGAAGGCCUUCAGGAAAAUGUAGUUAUUAGGAUCCCUGUUCACUAAAUAUGACAAAUAGCUGAGACAUUUAUUUACAAAGAAAAGUCCACUUGACCUCAAGCAUACUGUCAUUACUCAUUUCAUAGACACUACAGGAGCCAAAAGCUAUGCUACGAUUUCUGUGGUUCAAUACCUGCUUUAGAGAAGCUUGGUAAGUGGGAUUUUCGCCCUGGCCUUACUGAGCAACUUACCCAGCAGUUUAACUGACAGGAGAUAUGAGCUACUGGGAAGAUUCUGUCAUAUUAGUAAGGAUACAGGAGCUCGGUGGAGGGUCUUGAAAUAGCAUGAAAACAAAUGUUUUCAGUAAAAUGUGUAAAAAUCGCUGUAACUGCUACGUUUAUGCCUGUUACCAGUACUUCCUUAUUGAUAGAGGUUAUGCUCAACAGAGAAGACAGACACUGUGCAGUUAACUGCUGCCCCGCUUCCUUCCAACUCCCAGUCCACACGCUGCACACUUCACUGGCAGACGGCUCCCCAUUCAGCAGCUAGAAAGAACCCAACUCAACAGUGUGCUCCAAGUGUCCUCUUUAAUCUGCUGUGAGAAGCUGGAGACAUUAUUUUAAGGAAAGGCUAGAUGUCUGUAUUUUUUAAUUCAUACAGAAAUCAUGAAUGUUCUUAACCUAUAUCUUCUGGUACAAUCUAGGUAUAAAGAACUACGACUCCAGGUUAUAUAGGGAAUAUUUCACUUUCUCAUGUAAGAAAUUCUGGAUUCAUAUGCUCUAAUGAAGUCAAUAUUUUAUGCAAAAAAAAUCCAUAUACAUUUAUUCAUAGGUCUUAAUACAGCAAAACAUAAAUCAAAGUGGAGAACAUUGCCCAUUCAACCAGUAAAUUUGAAAUUGUUUAAUUUUUAGUAUAAAAUGGAGCUUUUCCACAAAAUGUAUCUGCAUGGGAUUCACCUUCCCUUCUGCUUCAUGCUCUAAGAGUACAUUUACAGACAGCAGUAAUCAGGCUGCUCUCUUGCUUACAUUCACAUGAACAUGGUAAGCACAAAGGAGCAACCGUCUUUUAUGUAGUAGCGAAAAGAGUCAAUAAUCCUUUCAAGAAUGAGACUAUUUCAUUUCCUCCCAACUUGGAUUCACCAUAAACACGAUCCACAAAUGAUAUUGGAACCUAGUUGAGAAAACAGUACAGUCAGUCUUCAAGACACCAGACAGGACGUCCAGAGCUGCAGGCCGCCGUGACUCACACAACAGACCAAGGCUGAGUCCUGCAGUCCUGGGUUCUCAGAAUGUGGCAUGUUACUUGGUGCCAGCUGCGUACCUCAGCAAUGGUGUAAUUCAGCUGCCGGGCCCGAACAAUCAUCUCCAUCUGGAAGACGUAGCCUUUAGAAACGCACUUUUCUAUCAACUUUUGUAGAACUUCUUUUCGAUAUAAU